rnacentral:lncRNA from 10 species
AUUUAGUUCAAGAACUGUCUUCUCUGGAAAACUUUCUUUUUUUUUUUUUUUUUUCCUGAGACGGAGUCUCGCUCUGUCUCGCCCCGGCUAGAGUGCAGUGGCGCAUUCUCGGCUCACUGCAAGCUCCGCCUCCUGGGUUCACGCCAUUCUCCUGCCUCAGCCUCUCCGAGUAGCUGCGUCUGCAGGCGCCCGCCACCACGCCCGGCUAAUUUUUUUUUUUUUUUUUUUUUUUUUUUGGAUUUUUAGUAGAGAAGGGGUUUCACCGUGGUCUCAAUCUCCUGACCUCGUGAUCUGCCCGCCUCGGCCUCCCAAAGUGCUGGGAUUACAAGCGUGACCCACCGCGCCCCGCCUGGAAAACUUUCAGUGAUCACCCAAGGUGGGAGGAGAGCAAGAUGGCAGAAGUGACCGGGCUCUCUCUCCAUUGAUUACACUCUCCAGCAGCAUGGCUGUUUUCCCCAGGAUGGCAGGUGGCACAAGCGUUUUGCUACUCAGCAGGAGGUGUUGGCUUGAUGCUCAGGACCUCUGUGACACCAGCGGGUGCAGCAGAAGGGGAGCUGACUUCCUGAUGCAGAUUUAACUGAUUAAACUGUGAGUCCCCACAGCACCAGUGCCAGAGAGUCCCCUGGGACUGACUGCAGCCAAAUUUCUCAUUUAUAGGUUUCCCUGUUUGUGAUGCCUGACAUUUUUUUUUUUUUUUAAUGAAUCAGACUUCUUUUAAUAGUUCUAUUAUGUUAUCAAAUCGUGAGUAUAAGACCCUAUGACUUCAUCACAAGGUUUAGCAUGCUGGCUGAAAAUGUUAACUAAACUUGCAUUUUUUUU